rnacentral:rRNA from 1 species
UACGAAGGGGGCUAGCGUUGUUCGGAAUUACUGGGCGUAAAGCGCACGUAGGCGGCUUUGCAAGUUAGAGGUGAAAGCCCAGGGCUCAACCCUGGAAUUGCCUUUAAAACUGCAUCGCUAGAAUUGUGGAGAGGUAAGUGGAAUUCCGAGUGUAGAGGUGAAAUUCGUAGAUAUUCGGAAGAACACCAGUGGCGAAGGCGACUUACUGGACACAUAUUGACGCUGAGGUGCGAAAGCGUGGGGAGCAAACAGG